GGGGGCUGAGGGGGGGUUGCGUGGGCAGGGGCAGAGGAACUGGGACUGACAUGCUGCAAGGGGCCUUGGGGGAGAAUGCAGGGAAGGAGAUGAGAAAUAGGGUGCAGCUGGGUGGCAUGAGGGAAAGGUUGGAUCAAAACAGGCCUCUGGACCCUUGGUGAGCCACUGGCUUCAGCAACAUUUAUAGCUGAACACAUGACCUCUGUGAAGAGACUACAGCCCUACUGAUGGUGCAAAGUACCAGCUCCUCCGUGCUGCUGUGUGACAGAGGUGGGUAUGGGAAGGCUGAAAUAACAACUCGGGCCUCAGUUUUUCAGUCUUGUAACAGCCACUCCCAUCUCACCUCCCGAGGGUCAGUGUUAGCUUACUGCAAACUGUCCUGUAGAAAGCCAUGUGAUCCUGAAAAGAAUUAACCCAGAACCCAAGUGAAUCUGUUUUGUUGGAGGUGGGGAAGGAUAUGUGUGUUUGUUUAUUCCUCCUCCAGGAAAAAAACUGUUUCCUGUUCUAGUUCCUGACUUGAGAGCAAGAUCCUUAUUGAAUGGAAAUAAAUUUGCCCAAAGCAAUGAUGAGCGAAGUAUUUUCUGAACUGGUAUUGCUGAGACUUUGUGUCUUUGCUUUGACCAGGGCGUGAUCACGUAAUCUUCUCUCUGAGCUUAUUUA